GUGCUUUCUUUGGCAGCAUAUACACUAAGAUUGGAAUGAUACAGAGAAGAUGAGCACGGCUGCUCUGCAGGGAUGACACGAAAAUUCAUGAAGGAUUCCAUAUUUAA